GUGUGCAUGUGCGUGUGUAUGUGUGUUCAUGUGGGUGUGUCAGUUUGUGUGUACUCACCUAGUUGUAGUUGCAUGGGUUGAGUCACAGUUCCUGGCUCUGCCUCUUCAUUGGUUGCUACUAGGUCACUCUACCUGCUCCAUGAGCUUUAUCAUACCUCUUCUUAAAGCUAUGUAUGGAUCCUGCCUCCACUACAUCACUUUGCAGACUAUUCCACUUCCUGACAACUCUGUGACUGAAGAAAUACUUCCUAACAUCCCUGUGACUCAUCUGAAUCCUCAACUUCCAAUUGUGACUACUUGCUACUGUGUUCCAUCUCUGGAACUUCCUGUUUCUGUCCACCUUGUCAAUUCCUGUCAGUACUUUAUAUGUCGUUAUCAUCAUAUCCCCCUUAUCUCUCCUGUCCUCCAGUGUCGUCAGGUCGAUUUCCCUUAACCUCUCCUCGUAGGACAUACCUCUUAGCUCUGGGACUAGUCUUGUUGCAAACCCUUGCACUUCCUCUAAUUUCCUUACAUGCUUGGCUAGAUGUGAGUUCCAAACUAGUGCUGCAUACUCCAAUAAAGGCCUGACAUACACAGUGUACAGGGUCCUGAACAAUUCCUUAUUGAGAGGUUGGAAUGCUAUUCUUAGGUUUGCUAGGCACCCUUAUGCUGCAGCAGUUAUUUGGUUGAUGUGCACCUCAGAUGUGCCUGGUGUUACACUUACCCUAAGAUCCUUUUCCUUGAGUGAGGUUUGUUGUCUUUGACCCCCUAUACUCUCUGCGGUCUUCUUUGCCCUUCCUUAAUCAUCAUGACUUUGCACUUGGUGGGGUUGAACUCCAGGAGCCAAUUGCUGGACCAGGUCUGCAGCCUGUCCAGAUCCCUUUGUAGUUCUGCCUGGUCCUCAUCCAAUUGAAUUCUUCUCAUCUACUAAAUGUGUGUGUGUGUGUGUGUGUGUGUGUGUGUGCGCGUGCGUGUGUGUGUGCGCGUGCGUGUGUGUGUGCGUGUGUGUGCGCGCGUGCGUGUGCGCGUGCGUGCACGCGUGCAUAUAUGUAUAUACACACGUUGUAUAUUCAAGUACAUACAGUAAGUCCUCAACUUACAAACAAGUUGAGAAUCUUCUGUAUUGUACAUAAUAUCAUUAUUAUAUCAUUAUUGUGUAUAAUAUCAUUUUUAUAUCAUUAUACACAAUACAGAAGGUCCCCAACAUGUUCAUAUGACUUCCUAUAUCUCGUGUAUCUCACAUGCAACAGUACAAUAUAAUGCAAAUAUUUUCAGUCUGCUAGAGAGCCUCCUGAGGGUCUGCACUCACAAACUAGAAGUGUUCAAUCAGGUUAGGUUAGGUAAGGUUCAUCAAGAAACACGACAAGUGUUUCCUGACGUGUGUCUUAGUAAUUUAAUGACCUGUCACUGGAGCUUUAAGUCAUCUGACCAAGGCCUUCCGCUGGCUUACCCCUUCACCCUUUUACAAAUUAUGGUAAUGAUAUUAAUCAUUAGAUAGUGAUUUUAAUGAGAAGUGUCACUGUAGGUUUAUUCUUUGUCAUACUAAGUAUGCAAUUUACAGUUCUCAGAACAUGCAAUUCCGUAUGUUUAUAACUUCUUUUCGAAGAUUACACUGAGAAUUUUUUUCGACUGCUUAUUUUUCAGCCAGAAAAAAAAUUAAAUGAAAAGUUUAAUUAUUCUUCCUUACUAGGAUGGACUUAAACCUGCAAAAAAAAAAAAAAUUGUAAUGAGGCAGAAAUACGAUUUCUGAAGACGCAGAUGAAGGCUGGCAUUUACAAAUCUCCAUGCUGUGAUUAUGACAAAUACAGGUACCAUCUGACUUACGACCGAGCUUGGUUCUGACCAACCGGUCGGAAGUCAAAAUGGAUGUAAAUCGAACCUUAGAAAAUUGCCAAUAGGGAUAGUAGUAGUUAUACAUGUGGUGGAAAAGUCAGCUGGUACAUGAGAAAGAAAGGUUACAAAAACUAUAGCUUGGGUAGCAUAAAAGAUAAGUUGGGCAAAUGUAGAAAGGAUGAACACUACAGCAGGCCUGUUGGCCCGAACUGGGCAUGUCCUUUAUCUGUGUCUGGCAGCCCUGCUGCCAGAUGCAUGGUCAUAAGCCGAGUGAUCAUAUGUCGCGUAGGCUGUAAGUCGGAUUGUGAGUGUACUAUAUUGUGAAAAUAAUUUGCUUUAAACAUCAAGUUUAUCAGCAUAAGUACAGUACGGCCCCACUUAUACGGCGGGUUAGGUUCCAGGCUGUCGCCGGAAAGGAGAAUGUCAUUUUUUCCACUUAUAAAUGCAUAUAAAUGCCAGACAACAAGUUUACCCUAACUUAUAUUAAGUUAGUAAUAGAACUAGGCAUUAAAAAACACAAUAAAAAGUAGAAUACAUACACAGUACAUUCAUUACUUACCUUAAAAUACAGUGGACCCCCGGUUAACGAUAUUUUUUCAUUCCAGAUGUAUGUUCAGGUGCCAGUACUGACCGAAUUUGUUCCCAUGAGGAAUAUUGUGAAGUAGAUUAGUCCAUUUCAGACCCCCAAACAUACACGCGCAAAAGCACUUACAUAAAUACACUUACAUAAUUGGUUGCAUUGGGAGGUGAUCGUUAAGCGGGGGUCCACUGUAUUUGUAGUCUUACUAAUGUAGGGUGAGAGGUGAGUAGUACUUAUUUGUAGGAAGUCAGGUGUUGGUAGCCCAGGUGUAGGUAGUACUGGCUCCCCGUCCCAAACUUAAUAUAAGAUAUUUAAAGAAGCCCAGAGAGAUAAAAUACACAUGCAGUACACUCGCUAUUUACCUUAAAAUAUGUGUAGUCUUAAUGUUGGAUGAGAGGUGAGUAGUAUUUAUUUGUAGGAAGUCAGUGUAGGUAGCUGGUAGGUGUAGCCCGCCUGGGCUACACCUACGUACUGGCUACCUACACUGCGGCCCAGAGCCAUAUUAUUACCAUCAACAUACCUUGUUCACUGAAUUUUAUCAUUUCUGACAACUCCCUUUAGAUGCCAUGAUAAACGAAGGGAGAAGUAAUGAAUAAUUCAUGCCGAGAAUUGUGAACAAAAGCGGAGUGUUCAGGGGAGUGACUAGGCCAAGCGCAGAUUCAUGUUUUCUCUGGUGCUGGACCAGAGAAAACAAUGUUUUCCCCUCCCGGCUAUGACACCUCCAUAGCAUAUAAACAUAGCAUGUUUAUAUGCUAUGUAAUGUGUGUCUUAUAUAAUUUUGAAGAAAAUAUCAUAGAUGGAUUAAUGAAAAUGUCUAUAUUAAUGUAAAAUAAGACAUUUAAUUUUCCCAAGAGUGAUUAUUAUUACAUACUGUUAGUAUUACUAUAGCAUUAAGACUAGAGGGACACUUAGUGAUUUUAAUGUGUACCUGCAUGCCAGCACUGUAAGUAAAUGUAUUUAGGUACAGGUACACAAGUAUUAUUAUCAGAGCACAUAUAAAAUAUGCAUAUGCCAUAUUGGAGGAAUGCCGUAAGGCGAAAUGCUGUAAAGCGGGGCCCUACUGUACUCUGUACACACUGAGGAUGAUGAUAUUGUAUUUGGCACAUACUAAAUACAGAGAAUCAAAGUUAAUUUCGACGAAGAAAAUAUUCUGAUGGGAUGUAACAACACAGGAGAGAGAGAUUAGGGAAUCACAUAACUGUGUUCCACAUAUGAAUGAGAACGUAGAGCCUUUGCUGAAUAUUUUUCUUAAAUUUGUUAAACCAUUAAGGAAGAUAAUUUAGCAAUGUAGUCUGAGGCCUCCAUGCAUGUUGUGUUAGACUACCCACCCUGUAUAUAUCUGAUUAAUUUAAUUGUAUAGGAAAUAUACGAAAUAAGCGAGGAGCAUACUUUACUGGUAGUGGGUUUGUGUCGCCCAUCUUUAGAUAUUGUUUAAUGUCACCUCUGCACUAUUUAUAACAUUUUAAGUAUAUUUUUAAAUGUUCAUAUGCUAGUGUACUGUAUAUUGUAAUAAACAGAACAGGGGAAAUCAGCUCUAAUAUACAUAGGUAUGGUCAGAGAGCUGGUCGUAAGUCCGAGCAGUCGUUAAACAAGUACACCUACCAUCCGACUUACGACCGAGUUCGGUUCCAAGAAACCGGUCGGAAGUCGAAAUGGUCAUAAGUCAAACUUUACUGCUGAAUAUCAACAAAACAUUUUUGUAAUGACUUUAUUUUAUUGUUUUAUUUUGGUAUUUCAUGUUUUACUUUACUUUUUAUGUUGUUAGUACUGUAUUUUAUACUGUAAGGUUUAGGAUAAACACUGUGUACAACACAAAUAGUUGUUUAUUUCCCAGAAAUUUGGCAUAAAAAAAACGGUCGUAAGUCAAGUAGUCGUAAGUCAAGCAGGUCGUAAGUCAGAUGGUAGGUGUACGUCGUUACGUGAGGAGAGACUGUAUUAAAAAGGAUAGGCACUUUAGUUUCCUCUUUUUUGGGUCACCCAGCCUUGGUAGGAGAUGGCUGGUGUGGGAAAAAGGGAGGGAACAGUUUAGCAUGACCCAUAGGCAAGCUUCAGUCAUUCUUCGUCCCCAUCCACCUGGCAUGCUUGGUUAGCAGAACCUGAGGACAGUGUCUAUUAGACCGAAAAUGUUUGUGUUAGAAAUUUAUGAACUACGCUCUUCCGUGUGGGUUACCUGUAUUACCCAUAUGGUCAGUGUUUGGUUAACUCAAUCAACACUAUAAUAAAUAUAUACACACACGCACGCACGUGCGUGCACAUACACAAUGAAAUACAUUGAUACAUGUGCAAAACCACAUCAAAAGUUGAAUGAUAGCUCCAGGACUUUUGUGUUUCAAUCAGCUCAUUAGGAGCUUGCAAUACUGCAGAAAUGAGUAGGAAGCCCAGGCCUAGAGCUAUUAUUCAACUCCCCCUGUGGUUAUUUUGCAACUUUUAUCACUCAUUCGCGAUUAUUGCAUACGUAUAUUGUAAUUUACUGGCAUAUAUAUUCGUAUUAAAAUACACAGAAGAUGGAAAAAUAACCUGGAGGGUGUUUUGAGGGGUCAAUGCCCCUGUGGCCUGGUCCAUGACCAGGCCUCCUGGUGGAUCAGGGCCUGAUCAACCAGGCUGUUACUGCCAGCAAAACACAGAUUUACCUUCUAUUUGAUCUCAAGUAAAAUGAUCAUAGAGAUAAUAAUAAUAGUUGUUAAGAAACAGUCUUACAGUUAUAGCAAGAGUCAAGGAUGACUUAAUGUAUUGUGCUUCGUGUUAUAACGUAUUUAUUGCAGUACAAAUAAGGCUGAAUUUGGCUUUAUUAGUAGCAGUUUUUUUUACUUAUUUUUAAACUUUAUUGGGAAGUUUGACUAUGACAUACCAUGCUGUAUAUUUAUUGUAGUUAUGCAAUAUUAGUUUUAUUGAUAAUUUUGUGUAUAACGGCUGUAAAGGUGUAUUUUAUGUGUUGAUUUGGCAAUGUAAAAUUUUGCAUUACAAGCCUAAUUUUUUAGCAAAAACUUAUAAUUUGAUAUCAGAAAAAAUGCUAACACUUCACUUUUUUCACAAAUAGAUUUGAUGAUUUAUUGUACCGCAUUUUCCAGCAUAUAAAGUGCUCUGUUUUGCCCACAAAAAGGACUUGGAAAGUCAGUCUGCGCCUUAAAUGCUCAAGGUGAGGGUCAAGAGUAGGCUUUGUGUCACACUUUAGCAGUUGUUUACUAACGUUAUGUUACAGCCACUUGGAAACAUCGUCAUGUAUGCUCAUGCACCUUAUAUGCCGGAAAAUACGAUAUAUCGCAUGCAGUGGCGGACCUACAUUUUUGGGGUCCUAGAGCUUGAAAUGUUCUGGGGCCCUAAAGCUUGACCUGUUACGGGGGGCCCUUCACAACCCCUUCUCAUACAGAAGACCCAAAAGAUUUAAGCAAUGUGGACUAAAGUCACUUUUAGGGCCCCUCAGGGAUUAGGGGCCCUGAAGCUCAACCUCCAUUAUUUUCACAGUAGAUCCGCUCCUGAUCACACAGGUCUUAGGCUUAGAAUUAUCAAUAUAUUUAUUCCUUAAACAUGUUACGAUAAUGUACUUGAAACAGGAUUUACAAUUAAAAUGGUUGUGAGCUUUUGCAAAUGAAGUCAAAUCAAAUUUGCAUUUUUUUCAUGUGACAAAAAAAUCAUUUCUUUCAUCAAAAGAAAUAUUACCCAAACCUCAGUUACUGUACGUAUAUCCUAGACUAUAACAUUUAUCCUGGUAACAAUUAUUGUUGCACAUUUAUUUCAAAGUCCAAAAUAUUCUGGCACUUUAUUUGAGAGUUCAAAACAGUCUGGCCAUUUAUUUGAAAAUCCAAAAACAGUCUGGCCAUUUAUUUGAAAGCCCAAAAACAGUCUGGCCAUUUAUUUGAAAAUCCAAAAACAGUCUGGCCAUUUAUUUGAAAAUCCAAAAAUAGUCUGGCCAUUUAUUUGAAAGCCCAAAAAACAGUCUGGCCAUUUAUUUGAAAAUCCAAAAACAGUCUGGCCAUUUAUUUGAAAAUCCAAAAACAGUCUGGCCAUUUAUUUGAAAAUCCAAAAACAGUCUGGCCAUUUAUUUGAAAAUCCAAAAAUAGUCUGGCCAUUUAUUUGAAAGCCCAAAAACAGUCUGGCCAUUUAUUUGAAAAUCCAAAAACAGUCUGGCCAUUUAUUUGAAAAUCCAAAAACAGUCUGGCCAUUUAUUUGAAAAUCCAAAAACAGUCUGGCCAUUUAUUUGAAAAUCCAAAAACAGUCUGGCCAUUUAUUUGAAAAUCCAAAAACAGUCUGGCCAUUUAUUUUAAAGCCAAAAACAGUCUGGCCAUUUAUUUGAGAGUUCAAAACAGUCUGGUCAUUUAUUUGAAAGCCCAAAAACAGUCUGGCCAUUUAUUUGAAAGCCCAAAAACAGUCUGGCCAUUUAUUUGAGAGUUCAAAACAGUCUGGCCAUUUAUUUGAAAGCCCAAAAACAGUCUGGCCAUUUAUUUGAAAGCCCAAAAACAGUCUGGCCAUUUAUUUGAAAGCCCAAAAACAGUGGCCAUUUAUUUGAAAGCCCAAAAACAGUCUGGCCAUUUAUUUGAAAGCCCAAAAACAGUCUGGCCAUUUAUUUGAGAGUUCAAAACAGUCUGGCCAUUUAUUUGAAAGCCCAAAAACAGUCUGGCCAUUUAUUUGAAAGCCCAAAAACAGUCUGGCCAUUUAUUUGAAAGCCAAAAGCAGUCUGGCCAUUUAUUUGAGAGUUCAAAACAGUCUGGCCAUUUAUUUGAAAGCCCAAAAACAGUCUGGCCAUUUAUUUGAAAGCCCAAAAACAGUCUGGCCAUUUACUUGAAAGCCAAAAACAGUCUGGCCAUUUAUUUGAGAGUUCAAAACAGUCUGGCCACUUAUUUGAAAAUCCAAAAACAGUCUGGCCAUUUAUUUGAAAGCCCAAAAACAGUGGCCAUUUAUUUGAAAGCCCAAAAACAGUCUGGCCAUUUAUUUGAAAGCCAAAAACAGUCUGGCCAUUUAUUUGAGAGUUCAAAACAGUCUGGCCACUUAUUUGAAAAUCCAAAAACAGUCUGGCCAUUUAUUUGAAAGCCCAGAAACAGUCUGGCCAUUUAUUUGAAAGCUCAAAAACAGUCUGGCCAUUUAUUUGAAAGCCAAAAACAAUCUGGCCAUUUAUUUGAAAGCCAAAAACAAUCUGGCCAUUUAUUUGAAAGCCAAAAACAAUCUGGCCAUUUAUUUGAAAGCCAAAAACAAUCUGGCCAUUUAUUUGAAAGCUAAAAACAGUCUGGUCAUAUAUUUGAGAGUCCAAAACAGUCAGGCCAUUUAUUGAAAGUCAAAAACAGUGUGGCCAUUUAUUUGAAAGCCAUAAACAAACUGGUCUUUUAUUUGAAAGCCCAAAACAGGCAUUUGAGAGUCCAAAACAGACAAUUUGAGUCCAAAACAAUUUGACCAUUUAUUUGAGUCCAAAACAGUCAGGCCAUAUUGAGAGUCUAAAACAGUCAGGCCAUUUAUUUGAGUGUAAAACAAUCAGAUCAUUUAUUUAAAAGCCCAAAAUAGUCAGGUUAUAUGUGGUGCCUGUGUUUCACUUAUGUCUCCUUGCAAGCAGUAAUAGUCUGGUUGAUGAAAUAAUCACCAGGUUGAUGAAACAGUCACCAAGCUUAAUCACCAGGUUGAUGAAACAGUCACCAAGCUUAACAAUUACCAGGUUCAGCUCUGACAGCUUAACCACUCUCAAACUGGCCAAAAAUUAAAGAGAGGAAUGACUGUUCUUAUGUUACAACAUGAUAAGGGCUAAAGUACAAUAUUCUUGUCACUGAUGGUUAGAAGUAAGCACUAGUAGCCUUAGCAGUUAUAUAAGAGGUGCAUGUCAAUAAAUUACCAUAUGUAUGAAA